rnacentral:rRNA from 1 species
CCUACGGGAGGCAGCAGUGGGGGAUAUUGCACAAUGGGCGAAAGCCUGAUGCAGCGACGCCGCGUGAGGGAAGACGGUCUUCGGAUUGUAAACCUCUGUCUUUGGGGAAGAAAAUGACGGUACCCAAAGAGGAAGCUCCGGCUAACUACGUGCCAGCAGCCGCGGUAAUACGUAGGGAGCAAGCGUUGUCCGGAAUUACUGGGUGUAAAGGGAGCGUAGGCGGGAUGGCAAGUAGAAUGUUAAAUCCAUCGGCUCAACCGGUGGCUGCGUUCUAAACUGCCGUUCUUGAGUGAAGUAGAGGCAGGCGGAAUUCCUAGUGUAGCGGUGAAAUGCGUAGAUAUUAGGAGGAACACCAGUGGCGAAGACAGCCUUCCGGCGCCCUACUGACGCUGAGGCACGAAAGUGCGGGGAUCGAACAGGAUUAGAUACCCGUGUAGUC